GAUGAAGAACGCAGCGAAAUGCGAUACUUGGUGUGAAUUGCAGAAUCCCGUGAACCAUCGAGUCUUUGAACGCAAGUUGCGCCUCAAGCCAUUAGGUUGAGGGCACGUCUGCCUGGGCGUCACAUAUCGUUGCCUGAUGCCAGUUUCCUCGUGAUGGGUGACUGUGCAGGGCGAAUGAUGGCUUCCCGUGAGCAUUGUUGCCUCAUGGUUGGUUGAAAAUUGAGUCCUUGGUAGGGAGCGCCGUGAUAGAUGGUGGUUGAGUGACGAACGAGACCCAAUCAUGUGAGACCCCGACCGAAUUUGGCCUUCAUGACCCACAUGCGUCUUUGGAACGCUCAUGACGAGACCUCAGGUCAGGCGGGGGUACCCGCUGAGUUUAAGCAUAUCAAUAAGCGGAGGA
rnacentral:misc_RNA from 1 species